rnacentral:rRNA from 1 species
UACGUAGGGGGCAAGCGUUGUCCGGAUUUAUUGGGCGUAAAGAGCGUGUAGGCGGUUAGGUAGGUCCGUUGUGAAAACUCGAGGCUCAACCUCGAGACGCCGAUGGAAACCAUCUGACUAGAGUCCGGAAGAGGAGAGUGGAAUUCCCGGUGUAGCGGUGAAAUGCGCAGAUAUCGGGAAGAACACCCGUGGCGAAGGCGGCUCUCUGGGACGGUACUGACGCUGAGACGCGAAAGCGUGGGGAGCGAACAGG